UACGUAGGUGGCAAGCGUUGUUCGGAAUUAUUGGGCGUAAAGGGCGCGUAGGCGGCUUGUUAAGUCGGCUGUGAAAGCCCGGGGCUCAACCCCGGAGGGUCAGCCGAUACUGGCAGGCUAGAGUACGGAAGAGGUAGCUGGAAUUCCCGGUGUAGCGGUGAAAUGCGUAGAUAUCAGGAGGAACACCGGUGGCGAAGGCG
rnacentral:rRNA from 1 species